AUGGAAAAACAAGCAUAUAAUCACAUAAUCAGUAUUAGGUUUUCACAUAUUUUUAUCUGGUCGAAGACAUAAUCAUUGUGGCUUCUUAAUGAAAACCCUAAAUUUUUUUUUUUGUCAACCCUAAAUUUUAAUCGGAAGAAAUAUGGAGAUCAUAUGAAUACUCAUACAAGAAAAAUAAACUUUUUUGAAUGCCCUUAGUCAAAAAACAAAAAAGAAAAAUAAACUUUAGAGAGAUCAAUUCAUCAGAUAUAUUCGUGGUAAGUUGUAAAUUAAAUGAGUUAGCUUGAUAUGAUCGUAGUGAUGAAACUAUCAUGAAAGUGACGCAAGGUAUGUAAUCGUCUUCCACAAUCAAAGUGUAUAAAAUUCAUAUCUACACAUACUCUUAUGUAUGUAUAUAUUUGUAUUUUUGAUGAUUGAGAAAAUGACUAGUAGGAAGAAGAGAAAUGGACCAUCACUUGAAAUUGUGGACCAUCACUUCUUUAACAUUUAGUUACCCUUACUAUUACAUUUAGUUACUACUUACUACCUUAGCCUCUCUGUAACGUAUUACAUUUUUAGAAGGCAUGGUUCUUAAAUAAUUUAUGAAAUGUUGUUCUUACAUAUAUGUUGUUAUAUUUGAUAAAAAAUAAAAACUCAAUGAUCUAAAGAGAGACUUGAUAAGUAUUCGAUUGAAGAAGAAAACAAAUGGAACCAAACCGGUUCGGUAUUGGAAUGAGUGCGUCGUGGGGACCGGACAGUAGCAUACACAUAUAUGGACAAAU
rnacentral:lncRNA from 1 species